GAGGCAGCAGUGAGGAAUAUUGGGCAAUGGGCGCAAGCCUGACCCAGCCAUGCCGCGUGAAGGAUGAAUGCCCUAUGGGUUGUAAACUUCUUUUGUACGGGGACGAAACUUCUGGUCGUGACCAGGAUUGACUGUACCGUGCGAAUAAGCAUCGGCUAACUCCGUGCCAGCAGCCGCGGUAAUACGGAGGAUGCAAGCGUUAUCCGGAUUCUUGGGUUUAAAGGGUGCGUAGGCGGAAUAAUAAGUCAGUGGUGAAAGCCUGCGGCUUAACCGUAGAACUGCCAUUGAUACUGUUAUUCUUGAGUAUAGUUGAGGUGGGCGGAAUGUGUAAUGUAGCGGUGAAAUGCUUAGAUAUUACACAGAACACCAAUUGCGAAGGCAGCUCACUAAGCUGUUACUGACGCUGAGGCACGAAAGCGUGGGGAGCAAACAGGAUUAGAUACCCUGGUAGUCCACGCCGUAAACGAUGAUCACUCGUUGUUGGCGAUACACCGUCAGCGACUGAGCGAAAGCAAUAAGUGAUCCACCUGGGGAGUACGGCGGCAACGCUGAAACUCAAAGGAAUUGACGGGGGCCCGCACAAGCGGAGGAACAUGUGGUUUAAUUCGAUGAUACGCGAGGAACCUUACCUGGGCUUGAAAGGGGAUUGACCUCCCGGGAAACCGGGAUUCUCUUCGGAGCAAUCUCCUAGGUGCUGUAUGGUUGUCGUCAGCUCGUGCCGUGAGGUGUCGGGUUAAGUCCCAUAACGAGCGCAACCCCUAUUGUUAGUUGCCAGCGGGUAAUGCCGGGAACUCUAACGAAACUGCCGGUGUAAACCGAGAGGAAGGUGGGGAUGACGUCAAAUCAGCACGGCCCUUAUGUCCAGGGCUACACACGUGUUACAAUGGCCGGUACAAAGGGCAGCUACUUGGUGACAAGAUGCUAAUCUCGAAAACCGGUCUCAGUUCGGAUCGAAGUCUGCAACUCGACUUCGUGAAGCUGGAUUCGCUAGUAAUCGCGCAUCAGCAAU
rnacentral:rRNA from 1 species